AUUGAACGCUGGCGGCAUGCCUUACACAUGCAAGUCGAACGGCAGCACGGGUGCUUGCACCUGGUGGCGAGUGGCGAACGGGUGAGUAAUACAUCGGAACAUGUCCUGUAGUGGGGGAUAGCCCGGCGAAAGCCGGAUUAAUACCGCAUACGGUCUACGGAUGAAAGCGGGGGACCUUUGGGCCUCGCGCUUUAGGGUUGGCCGAUGGCUGAUUAGCUAGUUGGUGGGGUAAAGGCCUACCAAGGCGACGAUCAGUAGCUGGUCUGAGAGGACGACCAGCCACACUGGGACUGAGACACGGCCCAGACUCCUACGGGAGGCAGCAGUGGGGAAUUUUGGACAAUGGGCGAAAGCCUGAUCCAGCAAUGCCGCGUGUGUGAAGAAGGCCUUCGGGUUGUAAAGCACUUUUGUCCGGAAAGAAAUCCUUGGCCCUAAUACGGUCGGGGGAUGACGGUACCGGAAGAAUAAGCACCGGCUAACUACGUG
rnacentral:rRNA from 1 species